rnacentral:misc_RNA from 1 species
CCGAGUUUACAACUCCCAAACCCAAUGUGAACCAUACCAAACUGUUGCCUCGGCGGGGUCACGCCCCGGGUGCGUCGCAGCCCCGGAACCAGGCGCCCGCCGGAGGGACCAACCAAACUCUUUCUGUAGUCCCCUCGCGGACGUUAUUUCUUACAGCUCUGAGCAAAAAUUCAAAUGAAUCA